GGGUGGGGAGCACAGGGUUGGAGUCCAGAAGGCCAGUUGGACACCUUGGGUACCAGGUCACAGUUUUCUUUUCUGCAAGCGAGCGGAUGAUGUGUGCUUCCGAGGGUCCUCAGAGUACAGAAGACCACGGAUGGGCACAGGGCUAAAUUCACAAGGACUCACCUGGGCCAGGCCGUUUCCAGUCCAUUGCUCAUGACAAUCCAGUAAGGUGAAUGUAGUGUGAUCCCCAUUUUGUAGAUGACGAGACAAAGGCAUGGAAGAGACUGGACUCUACCACCCAUGCUCUUGACCUUCACUGCUCAGGUAACUCACGAGUGACGAGUGUAGUAAUUACACAUUUCAAAUUUGAAGUGUGAAUCUUGGCUUCCAGAGGCCCACAGCCUCGUCAGGGGAAGGAGUCAGGCUACAAGUGGCUCAUCCAAAUCCAGAAUCCAUUGUGUAAUGUCCAGUUGUCAACGUAAGGACAAAGGAAGAUAAGGUUUUGUGCAGAGAAGAGUCAGAACAGGAGGAGAGGAGGGGCCUGAACCCAAGGGAGACAGGAAGAGGGGCCUGAGCCCAGCUCUCUGGAUGGACGUAGCGGUUGUUGUGAGAAUCAAAGGCCUGCGAGUGUUUUGGAGGCCAGAACCCUGAGGGUGGACCCUUCCCUGUACUUCUCUUCCCUGCAAAAAUACAAGCCCCUCACAUCACUGGCCAGCUCCUUCCCAGGACUACAAGCCACCUGCCCCUUCUCCUCCUCCUCCCUCUGGCUGCCUCUUCUUUCACCCUAGCCUGGAGGCACCACCAUCCUCCUCUGUCCCAAGUGAGGCCGUGUCUGGUAACCUAUUGGGAUUCAGGGAGUGCACCCCCAGGGCUUAGCCUUCCUGGGGCUGGUGGGAUGGGAAGCGCCCAGGCAGCUGCUGGGGUGAGCAGAGCAGAAGGCUCGGCCUUGGGCUGCAGGGAAGAGCACUGCCCCUUUAAGGAGGCCUCCCUGGAGGCCCCCCCAUCAUGGAUGCGGGCAGACAGCAGCCUGGCUCCUCCUAGACUCUUGGAGAAUCUUCUCAGGUAAUUAUACCUCUAAGGCUUUCAUCCUGGCACCUUCAAAGCACCUGCAAUUAAGGUGUACCCCACCCUCCCUUUGAAGCACUGCAUCCAGGUUCACCCAGGGCAGGCCGGAGGCCUAAUGCGUCCCUGCAGUCCUAGGCCUGGGACACCCAGGUCUCUGGCUCCCCGUCCUCCAUUAAAUCCUCCAGGACCAGACCCCCAGGUCCCGGGACGCCCCUGACCCACAGGGUGCCUGCCUUGCCUGACGACAGUGGUCCUGGAUCCUUGGCAGCAACUAGGGAUUUUGUAAAGAACCUAAAACCUGUUCCAGCGACUCCAAGGACACUGGCCGUAAAUCCUCCUCUGUGGCCUGCUUUGUUGGGUGAGCACUCAGGAAACAGCAGUUGUGAGGAAGACGCUGAAGACACGACUGUCAGUCCCUGAACGUCAGGCUUGGGGACACAGAAAGGACUCGAUGGACUUCUAGAAUUUUCCUGCUCCUUUAACCGCACACCCAUAGUUCACUGGCUGAAGAUGUGGACCUGGCAAACAGAAAUAGGUCAGGCGGCUGGAAUGAUACCUGCAGAGUGUGGCUGGUCGGGCCAUCUAGAGCGAGGAGGGGCAGGAACGAAGCGCAGCUAAGUAGAAUGGG